rnacentral:rRNA from 1 species
CCAGCUCCAAUACCGUUUAUUAAAGUUGUUGCGGUUAAAAAGCUCGUAGUUGGAUUUCUGCCGAGGACGACCGGUCCGCCCUCUGGAUGAACAUCUGGCUCGGCCUGGGCAUCCUCUUGGAAAACGUAGCUGCGUUUUACUGAGUGGGGCGGUAUCCAGGACUUUUGUUUUGGGGAAAUUCGAAUGUUUCAAGCAGGCAUGCGCUUGGAAUACAUUAGCACGGAAUAAUAAGAUAGGACCUCGGUUCUAUUCUGUUUGUUUCUAGAACUGAAGUAAUGAUUAAUACGGAUAAUUGGGGGCAUUCGUAUUUAACUGUCAGAGGUGAGAGUCUUGGAUUUGUUAAAGACGGACUACUGCGAAAGCAUUUGUCAAGGACGUUUUCAUCG